AGAGUUUGAUCAUGGCUCAGAUUGAACGCUGGCGGCAUGGUUAAAGCAUGCAAGUCGAACGCGAAAGGGGGCAACCCCAAGUAGAGUGGCGGAAGGGCGAGUAAUACAUUCCUAACGUACCCUAAGGUCAGGGAUAGCCAAGGGAAACUUUGGGUAAUACCUGAUGACCCCAUCGGUCGCAUGAUGUGAUGGGCAAAGGCUUGCCGCCUUUGGAGCGGGGAAUGUCCUAUCAGCUAGUUGGUGAGGUAACGGCUCACCAAGGCUAAGACGGGUAGCGGGUGUGAGAGCACGGCCCGCCGCAUCGGGACUGAGACACUGCCCGGACUCCUACGGGAGGCUGCAGCAACGAAUCUUCCGCAAUGGGCGAAAGCCUGACGGAGCAAUGCCGCGUGCAGGAUGAAGCGCUUCGGCGUGUAAACUGCUGUCAGGGUUUAGCAACACAAUGAGCAGACCCAAAGGAAGAGACGGCUAACUCUGUGCCAGCAGCCGCGGUAAUACAGAGGUCUCAAGCGUUAAUCGGAAUCACUGGGCUUAAAGAGUGCGUAGGCGGACUUGUAAGUGUCUUGUGAAAUCCCAUGGCUCAACCAUGGAAUGGCUGGGCAUACUGCAAGUCUUGAGGUCGGUAGGGGUCGCCGGAACUCUAGGUGGAGCGGUGAAAUGCGUAGAUAUCUAGAGGAACGCCGAAGGUGAAGACAGGCGACUGGGCCGGUCCUGACGCUGAGGCACGAAAGCGUGGGGAGCAAACGGGAUUAGAUACCCCGGUAGUCCACGCUGUAAACGAUGUACACUAGGUCGUGAGGGUUCUGACACCAGCACGGCUGCAGGAAAACUAUUAAGUGUACCGCCUGGGGAGUACGGUCGCAAGAUUAAAACUCAAAGGAAUUGACGG
rnacentral:rRNA from 1 species